UACGUAGGGGGCAAGCGUUGUCCGGAUUUAUUGGGCGUAAAGAGCGUGUAGGCGGUUUGGUAGGUCCGCUGUGAAAACUCGAGGCUCAACCUCGAGACGCCGGUGGAAACCAUCAGGCUAGAGUCCGGAAGAGGAGAGUGGAAUUCCUGGUGUAGCGGUGAAAUGCGCAGAUAUCAGGAAGAACACCCGUGGCUAAGGCGGCUCUCUAGUACGGUACUGACGCUGAGGAGCGAAAGCGUGGGGAGCGAACAGG
rnacentral:rRNA from 1 species